UCUUGCAUCUACAUUGGAAGCCAAGAAGAGUCCUUCACAUGCCAGAAACAAUGAGGACUUUAUGCGAAGUACAGAGCAUGCAGGACCAGGUUAGAGAAGGACCUUCGGGACCAGCCCCCAAGCCACCUCGCCUGGGAGAGGCAUGGACUCACGAAAGCAACAGCUCUCCAAAACAGGAAAGAAUAAUCCGAUUGGAUCCCUGGGAAGCAGGGUGUAAAACUGCAGAACUGAGCCAAGACGUGAGAAAACUGAGUCACACAUAGGUCCAGCAACU
rnacentral:lncRNA from 10 species